rnacentral:rRNA from 1 species
CUCAGUGAGGCUUUCGGACUGGCCCAGAAGAGGUGGGCAACUACCACUCAGGGCCGGAAAGUUAUCCAAACUCGGUCAUUUAGAGGAAAGUAAAAGUCGUAACAAGGUCUCCGUUGGUGAACCAGCGGAGGGAUCAUUA